rnacentral:ncRNA from 2 species
AGACGUUCUCAGGGCGGGGCGAAAUUCCCCACCGGCGGUAAUUGGUCCUGCAUGCAGGGCCAUAAGUCCGCGAGCGCCCGACCGCGAAAGCGGGCGGGGUCAAGCAGAUCCGGUGCAAUUCCGGAACCGACGGUUACAGUCCGGAUGAGAGAGAACGGAA